GGCGAACGCUGGCGGCGUGCUUAACACAUGCAAGUCGAACGGAAAGGCCCUGCUUGCAGGGUACUCGAGUGGCGAACGGGUGGGUAACACGUGGGUGAUCUGCCCUGCACUUCGGGAUAAGCCUGGGAAACUGGGUCUAAUACCGGAUAGGAGCCAUUUUUAGUGUGAUGGUUGGAAAGUUUUUUCGGUGUAGGAUGAGCUCGCAGCCUAUCAGCUUGUUGGUGGGGUAAUGGCCUACCAAGGCGGCGACGGGUAGCCGGCCUGAGAGGGUGGACGGCCACAUUGGGACUGAGAUACGGCCCAGACUCCUACGGGAGGCAGCAGUGGGGAAUAUUGCACAAUGGGCGCAAGCCUGAUGCAGCGACGCCGCGUGGGGGAUGACGGCCUUCGGGUUGUAAACUCCUUUCGCUAGGGACGAAGCUUUUUGUGACGGUACCUAGAUAAGAAGCACCGGCUAACUACGUG
rnacentral:rRNA from 1 species